CGCAGUCGCUUCGGCUAGCCUGCGAGUCUCAGAGGAAAAAGGGGUUCCAGAAGUGCGUCCCCCGGGCCGCUCACCCGGCCCUGCAAUUGUGGGGGGAAGAGAAUAGAGGAGUGAAGAAGGGUGCAUUUUCCAUCUCACCUCGGUCCUCGGAUAGGAAAACCACGUAGCCCUGACCAGUGGGCUCAAAGCCCUGCUGGAAACUGGUUCGGAGUGUAUAUGUCUCAGCUUGAGAUGAGAAAAUGAGAACAAGUAACAAGCAUAUUUUUUCAACUCUUUCAGGAUCUUUGUUCCCCCACUAGGGAUUGAACCUGGACCCCAGCAGUGAAAGCACCGAGUCCCAACCACUGGACCUCCAGGUAAAAUUGGUUUUCAAAUCUGCUAAUUGGUGAAAAGAGAUCAACUUCUCUCUCAAGUUACAGAAGCAGAAAUUCAACUGGUCCUUACUAAUGAAAGAUCUUCAGUGAAGGUUGAAAGCCCUUCAGAUCAAUCGUACCACACUUUGAGCUCCUCUGGCCUCCGUGGUUCCCUCAUCUGUGCUCAUGGCUCACAGGUGUGCAGGACUCACCGAGGACAAAAAUGGUUACUUAACCACGCAGUUGAAAUAUCCUUUCUAUGGAAGGUUAAAAAUCCCAGGAAGUCUGUGGGACUGGCUUUUGGAGUAUAGCUAUGAGUAAAAUAUUCUCUAGAUU